AGUCUGAUGGAGCAACGCCGCGUGAGUGAAGAAGGCUUUCGGGUCGUAAAACUCUGUUGUUGGAGAAGAAUGGUCGGCAGAGUAACUGUCGUCGGCGUGACGGUAUCCAACCAGAAAGCCACGGCUAACUACGUGCCAGCAGCCGCGGUAAUACGUAGGUGGCAAGCGUUAUCCGGAUUUAUUGGGCGUAAAGCGAGCGCAGGCGGUUUUUUAAGUCUGAUGUGAAAGCCCUCGGCUUAACCGAGGAAGUGCAUCGGAAACUGGGAAACUUGAGUGCAGAAGAGGACAGUGGAACUCCAUGUGUAGCGGUGAAAUGCGUAGAUAUAUGGAAGAACACCAGUGGCGAAGGCGGCUGUCUGGUCUGUAACUGACGCUGAGGCUCGAAAGCAUGGGUAGCGAACAGGAUUAGAUACCCUGGUAGUCCAUGCCGUAAACGAUGAAUGCUAGGUGUUGGAGGGUUUCCGCCCUUCAGUGCCGCAGCUAACGCAUUAAGCAUUCCGCCUGGGGAGUACGACCGCAAGGUUGAAACUCAAAGGAAUUGACGGGGGCCCGCACAAGCGGUGGAGCAUGUGGUUUAAUUCGAAGCAACGCGAAGAACCUUACCAGGUCUUGACAUCUUUUGAUCACCUGAGAGAUCAGGUUUCCCCUUCGGGGGCAAAAUGACAGGUGGUGCAUGG
rnacentral:rRNA from 2 species